rnacentral:rRNA from 1 species
CCUACGGGUGGCUGCAGUAGGGAAUCUUUCACAAUGGGCGAAAGCCUGAUGGAGCAACGCCGCGUGCAGGAUGAAGGCCUUCGGGUUGUACACUGCUUUUAUAAGCGAGAAAUAUGAUGGUAACUUAUGAAUAAGGAUCGGCUAACUACGUGCCAGCAGCCGCGGUCAUACGUAGGAUCCGAGCAUUAUCCGGAGUGACUGGGUUGAAAGGGAGCGCAGGCGGCACGGCAAGCCUGAUGUGAAAGCCCGCGGCCCAACCGCGGGACUGCAUUGGGAACUACCGGGCUGGAGUGCCGGAGAGGUAGGCGGAAUUCCUAGUGUAGCGGUGAAAUGCGUAGAUAUUAGGAGGAACACCAGUGGCGAAGGCGGCCUACUGGACGGUGACUGACGCUGAGGCUCGAAAGCGUGGGGAGCAAACAGGAUUAGAUACCCGUGUAGUC